CGUAGGUGGCAAGCGUUAUCCGGAAUUAUUGGGCGUAAAGAGCGCGCAGGUGGUUGAUUAAGUCUGAUGUGAAAGCCCACGGCUUAACCGUGGAGGGUCAUUGGAAACUGGUCGACUUGAGUGCAGAAGAGGGAAGUGGAAUUCCAUGUGUAGCGGUGAAAUGCGUAGAGAUAUGGAGGAACACCAGUGGCGAAGGCGGCUUCCUGGUCUGCAACUGACACUGAGGCGCGAAAGCGUGGGAGCAAACAGGAUU
rnacentral:rRNA from 1 species